rnacentral:rRNA from 1 species
GAUGAACGCUGGCGGCGUGCCUAAUACAUGCAAGUCGAGCGAACAGACGAGGAGCUUGCUCCUCUGACGUUAGCGGCGGACGGGUGAGUAACACGUGGAUAACCUACCUAUAAGACUGGGAUAACUUCGGGAAACCGGAGCUAAUACCGGAUAAUAUAUUUAACCGCAUGGUUCAAUAGUGAAAGACGGUUUUGCUGUCACUUAUAGAUGGAUCCGCGCCGCAUUAGCUAGUUGGUAAGGUAACGGCUUACCAAGGCAACGAUGCGUAGCCGACCCGAGAGGGUGAUCGGCCACACUGGAACUGAGACACGGUCCAGACUCCUACGGGAGGCAGCAGUAGGGAAUCUUCCGCAAUGGGCGAAAGCCUGACGGAGCAACGCCGCGUGAGUGAUGAAGGUCUUCGGAUCGUAAAACUCUGUUAUUAGGGAAGAACAAAUGUGUAAGUAACGAUGCACGUCUUGACGGUACCUAAUCAGAAAGCCACGGCUAACUACGUG